AAGAGAGUGACAGAAUGGUGAUGUGGUUGGCUUGAAACUAACAUAAGGGGGUUCGAUUCCUUCCUUUCUUG
rnacentral:tRNA from 1 species